ensembl:lncRNA
GCGAAACCCAACUCUGUCCAGAUGCAUGACUCCUUAGAAUUUUCCAAGGGAAGCAGACCUAAUCAGCUAAUUGUUUGGCUGCGAUUCUGAGACUCCGGUGAUUUGCCUCCCUGACUCCUCUAUCUCUAUUAUAAUUGUCCUUUCGGAAAAACGGGGGAGAAUUCUGCCCAAGGCUUGUUUGGUUAACUUCCUGAGGACAAACAUCCUCCAGGUGGAGAGGCUCCGAUUCAAGCAGAACCGGUGGAAAUCCCAUGUUUUCCUCCUCGUCUGCCACAAUAGCACUAGGAACGGGACUACAAGGCCCAUGAGACAUCACAUCAUAUUAGAUGACUCCUCCUCUCUCAUACCAGCGGAGAAAAGCCUCUCUUUUAAACAAUCAAAUACACUUGGAGGCCUUUCAUCCCAGGAUAGCUGACUAUCCCCUUCAAAUGGCAAUCUCAACAAGCCAAUCCCUCAGGAGGAAGAGGGUUCUCACGGGUGGGGCCCCAUUGAGGUGGUGUGGGGGAGAAGGAAGAACGGUCACCAACGACCCAGGGAGAAGUGCAACAGAGUUAUUGCGACCCUGGAGAGGAAUAGGUGUGGUAGUCUUCAGGACAGACCCCUCAACCUUAAGGUCCUGCUUCUGAAUGCCAGAUCCGUCAAUGGUAAGACAGCUAUCAUCCAGGAUUUGAUCCUGGAUGAGGGGGCGGAUCUGGCAUGUAUUACCGAGACAUGGUUGGAUGAACCGGGUGGGGUGAAUCUCACCCAGCUGUGUCCACCGGGUUUCGGGGUCCAUCAGCAGGCCAGGGUUGACGGGCGGGGAGGAGGAGUUGCGGUGAUCUUCCGGCAGUCCAUCGCCCUGAUCAGAUGCACCGUUCCACAAUCUACGAGGUUUGAAUGUGUCCUGCUGAAGGUGGGAGCCCGAGACAGCUUGAGGAUUCUGUUGGUGUACCGUCCACCAGCAGUCUCCCUGUCUGAGCUAGCAGAAGUGGUCUCUAAUGCGGCCUUGGUCUCCCAACAACUCAUAGUUUUGGGAGACUUUAACAUCCAUGCCGAGACCACAUUAACAGGUGCAGCUCAGGAUUUCAUGGUUGCCAUGACGACCAUGGGGCUGACUCAAGUUAUAUCUAGGCCCACACAUCAGGCGGGACACACGUUGGACCUUGUCUUCAUUGUGGACGGUGGGACAGUCAGAGUGGAAGAACAAAACAUCCUUCCAUUGUCAUGGUCUGACCAUCAUCUGAUCUGUUUAAGUUUCGCCGUGUCUUCUAACCUCCGCAGGGGUGGUGGACCCAUUAAGAUGGUCCGCCCCAGGAGGCUGAUGGAUCCAGAUGGACUCCUGAGGUCUCUUGGGGACCUUCCUGUUCUGGAGACUGGCGAUCCUGUUGAUGUCCUGGCUGAUCACUAUAAUAGUGAGCUAGCAAGGGCACUGGACACGAUCGCUCCCGAACGUCCCCUCUCGCUGCGUAGAGUCACGUCAACCCCUUGGUUCACUGAGGAGCUGGCCGUGAUGAAGCGUACGAGGAGGGGACUAGAGUGCAUCUGGAGAAAAUCUCAGGAUGUGUCCGACCAAGCACGGGCUAAAGCCGCUAUUAAGGCUUACUCCGUGGCUCUGCGAGCAGCCAGGAAAGCUUUCACGACUGCCCGCAUAGCGUCUGCAGCCAAUAGGCCAUCGGAGUUGUUCCGAGUUG